UUUUUUAAACGGUUACGCGCGUAGAAAAACAAAAGAAAAGAGAACUAAACGAACUCCAAAACUUCUAAAGUAAAUUUUCCCCGACUCCUAAAAAUGAGUCGAACAAAAUGAACUUUUCUCCGGGCCUAAAAUGCAAAUUUUGAAAACGCUCAUUUUCCCUAUCCAAAUAAAAGGCAAAUGAAACUCCGACAAAAACCAAUGAUGCUCUUUUCGAAAUUUGAGAAAAACACAAAUAUGAAAAUAACGAAAUCUCCAACUCUCUCCGAGGGUCCUUGAGUUGCGUGAAAUUUGUAGGAUCGACCAAAAUGCAAGAAAAUAUGAUAUGCAAGAUGAUCUAAUGUAUAACAUUCCAAAUUGAAAAUUUGGGAUGUUACAAACCUAACCCCCUUAAGAUGAAUCUCGCCCUCGAGAUUCGGGUUGGCUAGAAAAUAGGUGAGGGUGGUCCUUGAGCAAAUCUUCUUCUCUCUCCAAGGUGGCUUCAUCCUCUGAGUGGUGGUUCCACUGAACUUUGCAAAACUUGAUAACCUUGCUGCGGGUAACUCUGCUGGCAUAAUCGAGAAUCUUGACUGGUUUCUCUUCAUACGUGAAGUCGUCCUUCAAGUGAAUCGCUUCUAGCGGCACUGUAUCUCUUAACGGUACCUUCAACUUUGUCCCAUGACAACGGUGUCCUUCACCUCCUUCCGUAUAAAGCUUCGAAAGGUGCCAUCUUCAAACUGGUUUGGUAACUGUUGUUAUAAGAAAACUCCGCAUACGGCAAGUUAUCAUCCCAACUAGAUCCAUAAUCUAGUGCACAAGCUCUCAGCAUAUCUUCCAAAAUCUGAUUGACCCUCUCGGUCUAUCCAUCUGUCUGCGGAUGAAAAGCGGUGCUGAACUCUAGCCUAGUUCCCAAAGUUUCAUGCAACUGAUUCCAAAACUUUGAGGUAAAUUGGGUUCCUCUGUCUGAUACAAUACUCCUUGGAACUCCAUGCAAACAAAUGAUCCUAGUCAUGUAUAUCUUUGCCAACUUAGCACUGGUGUAAGUGGUCUUAGCUGGAAUGAAAUAUGCUACCUUCGUCAAACGAUCAACUACUACCCAUAUCGAGUCAUAUCCUGCUUUCGUCCUGGGUAGUCCUGUGAUAAAAUCCAUGCCUAUCUUAUCCCACUUCCAUUCGGGUAUCGGCAAUGGUUGCAACAAUCCGGCUGGCUUCUGAUGUUCUGCCUUUACUCUAUGACAUACGUCACAAACUGCUACAUAUGCUGCAAUAUCCUUCUUCAUUCCGGUCCACCAGAAUGUUUCCUUUAAAUCCAAAUACAUCUUGGUAUUUCCUGGGUGAAUCGAAUAUGGUGAAUCAUGUGCCUCUUGUAGAAUCAACUUCCUGAUCUCCGGGUCAUUUGGCACAUAAACACGGUCCUCAAACCAUAGGGUAUCGUGCUCAUCCUUACGAAAUCCCUUUUGCUUUUCCUUUGCUCAGUUUCUCCUUUAUGGAAGCAAUCUCCUUGUCAGAUUUCUGAGCUUCUCUGAUUUUAUCCAUCAAUGUUGACUGAAUCUCCAAUGCUGCUACAUAGCCUUUUGGAACUAGUUCUAAACUUAGUUCAUGAAGGUUUUUUGCUAACUCCUUGGGUAUUCCUCCUGUCAUUACCAUAUUCACAUGGCUCUUACGGCUCAAUGCGUCAGCUACAACAUUAGCUUUUCCGGGAUGGUAAUGCAAUCUCAUAUCAUAAUCCUUGAUGAGCUCCAACCAUCUCCUUUGUCUGAGGUUCAACUCCUUCUGAGUGAAAAUGUACUUCAAACUCUUGUGAUCCGUGUACACUUCACAAUGAUUUCCAAUGAGGAAAUGUCUCCAUGUCUUCAAUGCAUGCACUACGGCUGCUAACUCUAAAUCAUGUGUGGCAUAAUUCAACUCAUGAGGCUUCAGUUGUCGUGAAGCAUACGAAACAACUCUUCCUUCCUGCAUAUGCACUGCUCCAAGUCCUCGACGUGAAGCGUCGCAAUACACCUCAUAAUCCUUGGUCUGAUCUGACAAAAUCAACACUGGUGAGGUAACCAAUCGUUCCUUCAACUCCUAGAAACUAGCCUCACACUCCUCGGUCCAUUUGAACUUAGUAUCCUUCUUCAACAACUCCGUCAUAGGCUUCGCAAUCUUUGAAAAUUUAUCAAUGAAUCUUCGGUAGUAUCCUGCGAGUCCAAGAAAACUCCGGAUCUCUCCAACUAUCGUUGGUGCCUCCCAUUCGGUUACGGUCUCAACCUUGGUGGGGUCAACUGCUAUCCCUUCUCCGGAUAUAACAUGUCCAAGAAAUCCUACUUCCUUCAACCAAAACUCACAUUUGCUAAAUUUGGCAUUUAACUGAUGUUCCCUUAGUUUCUCCAAAACCAAAUGCAAAUGUUCCUUAUGCUCCUCUUCAUUCUUCGAAUAAACCAGGAUAUCAUCAAUGAACACUACGACGAACUUAUCCAAAAACUCCAUAAACACUUUGUUCAUCAGGUUCAUAAAAUAGGCAGGUGCGUUAGUCAAUCCAAAUGACAUAACGGUAUACUCAUACAGUCCAUAUCUUGUGGUGAAUGUUGUCUUGGGAAUAUCCGGUUCUCGAAUCUUCAAUUGGUGGUACCCUGAUCGCAAAUCAAUCUUGGAAAACACUUUAGCUCCUUGCAAAUGAUCAAACAGAUCAUUAAUCAUUGGCAGUGGGUACUUGUUCUUGAUGGUUACUUCAUUCAAUCCACGGUAAUCAACAACCAUCCGUAAUGAUCCAUCCUUCUUCUCCACUAGAAGUACGGGUGAUCCCCAAGGCGAAGAACUUGGGCUUAUGUAACCUUUCUCCAAUAACUCCUUAAUCUGAUUCUUAAUUUGUACCAAAUCCUUUGCAGGCAUCCGGUACGGUCUCUUUGAUAUUGGGCCUGUACCUGGCAAUAACUCAAUCAAAAACUCAAUGUCUCUAUCUGGUGGCAUGCCUGGCAAUUCUUCGGGAAAUACAUCAGGAAAAUCCUUUACCACUGGUACUUCCUCCUGCACGACUCCUGUCAGGCAAUUCACUUGUGUCCUAUUUGGCACAUGCCGGGAUACAUACUUGAUCCUUCUUCCUUCUAGUGUUGUAAGCAAAAUUGUCUUACUAGCACAAUCGAUGUUUCCUCCAUACGUCGACAACCAAUCCAUACCGAGGAUUACAUCCAGUCCUUGGGAUUCCAGAAUAAUUAAAUCUGUUGGGAAAACAUGCCUUCCUAUGCUUAAUGGCACUUGAAAGCAUCCGUGACUGGCCAUGUAUUCUGCUCCUGGCGAGCUUACUAGCAUAGGUGUUUGAAGAAUCCUAGUGGGCAGGCUAUAUUUUUCCACAAAUCCCCUUGAUAUAUAUGAAUGUGAUGCACCAGUAUCGAAAAGAACGAGUGCGGUAAAUGACUUAACCAAAAACUUACUGAUUACUGCAUCAGGCUGAUCUUCAACCUCCUCCACGCUAACGUGGUUCACCUGUCCCCUAUUGAAAGGGUUCGGCUUCUUCCCUGAGCUUCCAUUGCCAUUUCCAUUCUGGCCUUCAGGACAUUCAUUGGCAUAAUGUCCGGUCUUGGAACACUUGAAACGGGUGACUUGGCUCAGGUCUCUCUUGGAUGGGGUUGAUGGGGUGGUACGGUUCUGGCCGUUGCUUCCUCCAUUCCCAUUACCAUUCUUGUGGCCAUUGUGGUUGUGCGAACUACCUCCUCCAUGGGUAUGCUGAAACUGAAAUCCCGAUUUAGGGGUAAAACGGGGCUUCUGCUGGGCUCCAGAGUUAUACUUCACCUGUCCAUACUUCCUCUUGUGGUUCUCAAUCUACUGUUGCUUCCCUUCAAUCAUGAUGGCACGAUCUAGCAACUCUUGGUAGUUGUUGAAACUUGGUACCAUCAACUGCAUGCUUAACUCAUCAUUCAAUCCUUCCAGGAACUUCUCCUGCUUAGUUGCAUCUGUAGCAACGUCAUCUGGGGCAUAACGUGCUAACUUGCUGAAGUCGUCAACAUACUGGCCAACUGUCCUUCCUCCUUGGCGUAAGUUGCGAAACUCACGCUUCUUCAUGGCCAUAGCUCCUGCUGAAACAUGUGUAGUGCGGAAAGCUUGCUGAAACUGAUCCCAUGUGACAGUGUCAACUGGGAAGGUGGCUGUGAAAUUCUCCCACCAUGCUGCCGCGGGUCCUUCUAACUGAUGUGCGGCAAACUUCACUUUCUCACCAUCUGUGCAUGCUGCAGUGGUCAACUCCCUUCCUAUCUUGCGGAGCCAAUCGUCUGCUACUAUUGGCUCGAUGCUACUAGAAAAUACCGGAGGAUUUAGCCUAAGGAAAUGGGCUAAGUGGUCAACAGGUGGUGGUGGUGGUGGUGGGUUGUUGUUGUUGUUCUGCUGAUUCUGGACUAACAUCUGCAUCAAUUGAUUCUGCUGCUGGAUCAACUGAGUGAGCUCCGGUGGAAAUCCAGUGUCACGUCUCGGAGGCAUCUGAGGGUUUAGAAAAGAAGAGAUAUAAGAAUAGAAUGAGGUCUAAAGAGAAAACACUACCCCAAUGCACAUGAGCAAAUUCACACAAAUUCACUUCAUUCAAUCAAACAAGGGCUUACAAUCGAUCUAGAACUAUCUCAAAAGUGCUCGAACUAUAGUGUAUACAUGGGGGGGGGGGAUACUACUAAUAUUUGGUGGUCAUCUAGAAAUUUGAACCGGUGGAAGACUCCAUGAUGUCCUCUCCAGCUUCGUCUUAAAAGUCGGGUUCACUUGGAUCCGAAUCGGUGUCGUCGAUGAUGAUGUAAUUGUCCGGACAUGCGACGUACAUGUCUUCCUUCCUGGAUGCUAACUCCCUCUUGAGUUCUUCAAUCUCCUGCUUAAGAUCGCAGUUGUGUCUUGCUAGAGCUACGAUCUCGUCCAUGUAGUCCUUGCGUGUAGCCUUCAGUUCUCCUUCUAGCUCGAUGAUCCUUGACUUCGCAUUCUUCAACUCUAUCAUAUCAUUGCACAUCUGGUUCUCGUGGCGUCGAAUGUGCUGGUUUAACUCCUGGAUGAAUCCUGCAGUGGAUCUAUCCUUUUUGGUGGUGACUAACUCCCAUUGUUCAUCUCGGCGUCCGCAAAUCUGGUAGAUAAUGUCCUUGAGGUCUUCUUGAUAAACUUCUCCAAUGCGUCCUAUGGUGAUAUGGGCUGCCAUGCUCCUUCCUAGACUCCAAGUUGGUGCAUUGAAAACACUAUCUAUGGGCCUUGUGAUUGGCGCGAAUGUCCUUCCUGGAACGUGAGCUUGAAUCUUCCAGCGCUCCUCUUCAGGCAAAGUGGCGUUGAAAGUUCCCGUGAAACUUGGUAAUCCAAUGUUUAGGUACUUGGUGACUUCCUUCAAGUGAAAUCCAAAAUGUGUGCCUUCAUCCGGUUGAGCGUACUUAAUCUUCGCGUCCUUCAUCCUAAAGAGUAGAAAAGAUGAGGAGUUAGAAAAGGAGGAGAGAAUAGUGAUCUACGGCUUUAACUUAGUGGUCGUGUCCUACAGUCAGCGUGUGCUCUGAUACCAUCUCUGUAGCGACCAGACCCGAAUGGAUCAAGUCUACUGUGCUCCGGUGUCAUCCCUGGAUCAGUAAUGCUGACACCACACAGUACAUCAAAGGAUUUAUAGCAGAGUGGCAAUCACACACUUAUUACAUCGAUGUCUCCGAAGAGAACUUAUUACAAUAAUAUGGCUUAAGGCCAUCUAAUAUCGAUAACAGCGGAAGACUUGGAAGAUAAAUGGGUCCAUCAACUCCAACGGCAUCACUGAGUAUAGAACCACGACCUAAGAGCACCUUAAUCAUCGUCUGAAAAGUCUGCAACAUUAACGUUGCAGCCCGAAAUGGGUCAGCACAUGGAAUAUGCUGGCAAUGUAACACAUAAAGAAUGAUGGAAUGAAAUAGCUAUACUAUAUGCAUAUUUGGCUGGUGGAUAGCUCUAUGGUUACAGUUUUGCGUAAAGCCAGUUUUUCCCUACUGCAAAGGAAUAAAUUUAUUUAACUAUCAUGGUGGUUGUUAAACAUUGAGAAUGGUUGACAGCAUUCUCAAUCCCAAUUAAAAGUAAUCAUUAACAACCCAACAAUAUUAAUUUAGAAGUAACAUGUUGAGAUUCACAUGAUAUUCAAGUACUAGAUACUCAAGUUGUCCAUAACCGGGGACCCCGCUAAUCAUGAUUAGUUUAUUACACUCUGCAGAGGUUUGCGCACUUUUCCCCACAAGACUCGAUCGCCUCCGUUGGAUUUCUCGCACUCCUGGUGUUUGAGAAAUGGAUGACCGAGACACAGUCUUUCAGAAGCGCUAGCACCUUACGAUGGAUAGACCGGUACACCUAGUUUCCCCUACAUCUGCUAGUCUACCCUAUAAGAGUUGGCACGACUUAGUCAACUAUGCCAGAGCCCAUAUUGGCUUGUGGCUGCACACGUAAGUAUUUAGCAUGAAAGAUCUUAUGAUCCCUUUGAGCCUGGGUGGCGGUCCAAAAUAAAACAGGCAAGUCCUGAUAGACAUCAGGUGCCUCAAUCCACCCAUAUGUGUGUUUAUGUUGCCACCUUAGAUAAACCCUUAAAAUUAUCACACUCACAUCUGUCAUGGAUAUCACUCACCCAAUCCACGUCUACUAGCAUAGCAUGGCAUAAUAAGCAAACGUAGAAGUAACUCCCAAAGGUUUCAUAAUAAACAGGUAAUAGGUACUACCUCAUCUACUUCCCAUCCCACAAUUUAAUUAGAUCCUAAUCAUGCAAUGUGUGAGGACGGAUCUAAUGCAAUAAAACUGGGUUGUAGAAAAGGUAUGAUCAAAGUGUUACUUGCCUUGCUGAUGAUCCGCGAGUCCUAGAGAUUCGAAGUAACAGGCGGCGCAAUCCGGGUAAUCUAUUGCAGACAAACAACAAGCAUACAAUAAGUACUCAUCUAAUGCACAUGUAAAACUCAAACAAGAGAUCGAACCAGAUAGUUCAACUUAAGAACUCCGGUUGCAAAGAGAGAAAGAACCGAACAAAGAAACCGAAAACAAACGGCGGAAAACAACUCGGUUCUAGCAAGUUGAAACUGGGUCAAAUUUUACAUAUAAAAAACUAGUUUAAGUUGAUUAUUCGGAACGGCGGUUUCGAAACGAAACUCCAGGCGCUUGAAUCACCUGAUUCCGAUAAACGAGCGAGAAGAUAGACUAGAACGAAGAUCGGAUCUGAGAUCGCGAUCGCGGAAUAAAUCCGAUGAAAAGAAAAAGAAGAACGGUUAAACGAACGGAUGUUCGUUAACCUAGAAAAAUCCGGUGAUCACGCUCGUUAAGACGAACGGUCCGGCGAACGGUCUCUAGGCAACUAAAUCGGAAAAGAAAACGAAUCCGAUCUAGGGUUUCGGAAGAAAACCGAACGAAAAAGCGAUCUAGAAAACUGGAACGGUUUAGAGAAGAACCGGAAAGAAAACGAAUCGGAAGAGAAGAAAAGAAUCGGAACGGUUUAUAAGAAAAACCGAACCGAGGGGAUAGAAGAGAUGCGACGCUGCUACCUCGGCGAGGUUCCAGCGAGGGGCUCCGGCGGCGGCGAGCAAGGGCGGCGGCGGGGCACUAGGGUGGCGGCGGCGGUGCACAAGGGCGGCGGCGGCGGUGACGCAGGGCGGUGGCGCCGCUAGGGUGGCGCGGCGCUAGGGCAAGGGCGGCGGUGGCUUGAGGCUUGAUGUGAUGUUUAGAGGGGGGUGAGUAUUUAUAUAGGUGAGGGGGAGGAUUUGCUUGGGGGAGGGGGCAAGAAAUAAGAGAAGGAGAAGGAAAGAGGAAACGGAGUCCAAGAAGGACUCUAGGGCGGUGGCGGCCUUGGGCGGCUGCGCGGCUGCGUGCGGGCGAUGGGGAGGAGCCGGCCUGGCCGGCGGCUUGGGCCUUGGCCCAGGCGCUGCAGGAUUUUUUUUAAACGGCUACACGCGCAGAAAAACAAAAGAAAAGAGAACUAAACGAACUCCAAAACUUCUAAAGUAAAUUUCCCCCGACUCCUAAAAAUGAGUCGAACAAAAUGAACUUUUCUCCGGGCCUAAAAUGGAAAUUUUGAAAACGCGCAUUUUUCCCUAUCCAAAUAAAAGGCAAAUGAAACUCCGACAAAAAUCAAUGAUCCUCUUUUCGAAAUUUGAGAAAAACACAAAUAUGAAAAUAACGAAAUCUCCAACUCUCUCCGAGGGUCCUUGAGUUGCGUGAAAUUUCUAGGAUCGACCAAAAUGCAAGAAAAUAUGAUAUGCAAGAU
rnacentral:lncRNA from 1 species